GCUCAGGGUGUCGAGGUUGUCGUGCUUCGUUGCUGUGUUCAUCCGGUGGUCGGGCAACUUGCCACUGGUGUAAUCUCAGCCGGAGUUGGACCGUCAGUCGGGAAGAGUCUGAGGCCUGUUUAUCGGUGUUAGGGAGGUAGGCCUCGAGGUUGCCUUCGGGCUCCCGGGGUCACGUAUAGCCUUUCGCCGUGGUUUCAGUCGUCUUUCAGGUGUGUUGGAUGGCCGUUCGUCCAUGAUUGGUAGGUGCAGUCUCCCCUAGUGGGAGGUCGGGCCUUCGCUGCGGUUGCUCAACAUCUGGGAGUGUGUGUUCCGUUCUCUCGCCGUAGACU
rnacentral:rRNA from 1 species